rnacentral:lncRNA from 1 species
CAAGAAUAACAUGACAGGUACGUAACUGUCAAAUAAGCAUCGUCCAAAGAAGAAAAAAACCUUAAAAGAGACUUUUGGUAUUAGGAACGAAUUUAAAAGAUAUUGUGUCACGAUCUAUACUUUCGACAUAUCUAAAUAUUCAGCGCUUACAAUAUAAUAACUUAGUGCCGUUCAAAUGUUUCCCGCAAUAUUAAAAAAAAAUUGCCGC